GACGAACGCUGGCGGCGUGCCUAAUACAUGCAAGUCGAACGCACAGUUUAUACCGUAGCUUGCUACACCAUAGACUGUGAGUUGCGAACGGGCGAGUAACGCGUAGGUAACCUGCCUGGUAGCGGGGGAUAACUAUUGGAAACGCUAGCUAAUACCGCAUAAUAUUGAUUAUUGCAUGAUAAUUGAUUGAAAGAUGCUAUUGCAUCACUACCAGUUGGACCUGCGGUGUAUUAGCUAGUAGGUGAGGUAACGGCUCACCUAGGCGACGAUACAUAGCCGACCGGAGAGGGUGAGCGGCCACACUGGGACUGAGACACGGCCCAGACUCCUACGGGAGGCAGCAGUAGGGAAUCGUCGGCAAGGGACGAAAGACUGACCGAGCAACGCCGCGGGAGGGAAGAAGGAUGUCGGAUCGGAAAGCUCUGUUGUAAGAGAAGAAAGGGUGUGAGAGUGGAAAGUUCACACUGUGACGGUAACUGACCAGAAAGGGACGGCUAACUACGUG
rnacentral:rRNA from 1 species